AUGAUCAUGAACGCUACUUGCCCUGCCAAUGGUUCUCUCACCUUCCGGAGCAUUCUCCAUGUCCGAAAUUUGCUGCGGGAAGGUGCAGUGUGGCGUAUUGGAGAUGGAGCAAAGGUGAACAUCCACCAUGAUAACUGGAUCCCGCGCAGGAGCUGCCUUCGGCCACUGGGCCAGAGCUUCCUGCCCGGCACGACGCGUGUGGCGGACCUGCUAGCUGAAGAUGGCAAUACUUGGAACGACGCCAAGGUGGAUGAGAUGUUUUCUCCUGACGAUGCGGCUGAUAUCAAGCAAAUCCCGGUUGGAGGACAAGGGGUAGAUGAUUACCUAGCUUGGAACUACACCAAGGAUGGGGUCUACUCGGUCCGAUCGGCAUAUCACGUGGCUAUGAACAUGAGGAAGGCUUCUUCGGGCCGGCAAGGAUCUUCGUCUUCUGUCAAUUCCCACAAAAAUUGGCUGGCCGUGUGGGGUGCUCAUGUGCCGAACAAGGUUAAGAUACACGCCUGGAGGAUCAUGCGCAAUGGUUUGGCCACGGGGUCGGAACUGCUGCAUAGACGAAUCAAGCCGGGAGUGUUCUGUAUAGCGUGCGGGCGUGAGGAAACUUUGCUGCAUCGCUUCUGGAGCUGUCCUCACUCGCGGCAGUUUUUGGCCCGCGCUGGCUGA
rnacentral:rRNA from 1 species